rnacentral:tRNA from 1 species
GGGCCGGUUGGCCCCUGAUCUCCCGCCUGGAGCGGCGGGAUGCGCCCACCAUUGGGCGUGAAAGCUGAGACUCAUACUCAAGAUGACGACGGACGGUGUCAGUGGGGGUUCGACUCCCCCUCCCGGCUCA